rnacentral:ncRNA from 1 species
AGAAUAGUAAUGACGGAAUAAGUAAACCACUUGCAAAUUUUCAGAGAGUCGGCAUACGGUGGAAGUCGACAAUGAGCGGUGGAAGAAGAUCCCUCCGGAACUGUGUUUCUGAACGUUAGUAAGAAAUACCGGGUUAGCCACGUUAUUUGGCUUAGGUUUGAUAGAACUGAAGAGGCAUUGUUGUGCAAUAAAGGUGGUAACGCGGGUAAUAACUCGUCCUUGGA